rnacentral:rRNA from 1 species
CCAAUUGUCCGCCAAACAACUACGAGUCACACUUAAAACUUAAAAGACUUGACGGUGCUUCAUCACGACCUAGAGGAGCCUGUCUAAUAACCGACAAUCCACGAUUAACCCUACCCCUUCUCGCCCAACAGUCUAUAUACCGCCGUCGCCAGCUUACCUUGUAAAAGAAAUAAAGUGAGCCAAACAGUACUGCACUAAAACGACAGGUCGAGGUGUAACCCAUGAAGGGGCCCAAGAUGGGCUACAUUCUCCAACCGAGAAUACGAAUAGCACUAUGAAACUAGUGCCUGAAGGCGGAUUUAGCAGUAAGAUAAGAAUAAAACACCUAACUGAACACAACGCAAUGAAGUGCGUACACACCGCCCGUCAUCCCUGCCACCA